rnacentral:misc_RNA from 1 species
GUAUUAACUUUUAGCUCAUGACUGAGCAACUACAUUCGACAAGACAAUAAAAGGUGUUUGUAAUAAAACGAGGCUAAGCGAAGCACACGCAUACAGCGAGCACCGCAACCCAGACCUACGUUUCAAAGUGCACAGGGGUAGAAUGGAUGAAAGACCCGACCGAGCACCUGCAGCGCCAGCUCAAGACGGACUUCAAAAUUCGAUAAUGAUCCUUCCGCAGGUUCACCUACGGAAA